UGGGGAAUAUUGGGCAAUGGGCGAAAGCCUGACCCAGCAACGCCGCGUGGAGGAAGAAGGUUUUCGGAUCGUAAACUCCUGUCCUAAGAGACGAGGAAGAGACGGUAUCUUAGGAGGAAGCCCGCUACUACGUGCCAGCAGCCGCGGUAAUACGUAGGGGCGAAGCGUUGUCCGGAAUGAUUGGGCGUAAAGGGCGCGUAGGCGGCUCGGUAAGUCUGGAGUGAAAGUCCUGGCUUUAAGUUGGGAAUUGCUUUGGAUACUGUCGGGCUUGAGUGCAGGAGAGGUUAGUGGAAUUCCCAGUGUAGCGGUGAAAUGCGUAGAGAUUGGGAGGAACACCAGUGGCGAAGGCGACUAACUGGACUGUAACUGACGCUGAGGCGCGAAAGUGUGGGGAGCAAACAGGAUUAGAUACC
rnacentral:rRNA from 1 species